rnacentral:lncRNA from 1 species
GUCCAGGUGGCUGGGGUUUCACUUUCAGUUUCAUCUUUCAGCUUGCUGUACAGACUGUUGCCGCGCUGGCUGGCUAGGUCGCUCUUGAAAGCAUGCAAACUAGAAGCUGAGGAGUGCUAUGUUGUGAAAUACUGUCAACUGGACAUGCUAUGGCUAUGGACACUCACGAACUGUGGAUAUCUACAGCUACAUCAAUACAGUGAUAAAAAUUGCAACAUUGAUAGAGGAGAUGGUGUCAAGGCUCCACCCAUUACUGAGGAGGUUUUGGCAGCUGAUAGCUGAUUUGAAAGAACUCCUUGGAGAUGACGGCUCCAUCUAGGACUUGCCUAGGAAAAGAAGCAAUGAGGGCAGAUCACUGUGUAACGCUAGAUAGCCUUCAUCCAGUAGCUGUUCGAAGCAAAAACAGGCACCCACAGAGCCUUCAUCAGCAGCUGAUGGAAGCAGAAGAAGACACCCACAGCUAAACACUGAGCUGAACUCUGGAAUCCAGUUGCAGAGAGGGAGGAGUGAUGAGCAAAGGGGUCAAGACCAGGCUGGAGAAACCCACAGAAACAGCUGACCUGAACAUGGAGUUGCUCAUGGACCACAGACUGAUAGCUGGGAAACCAGCAUAGGACUGUUCCAGACCUCUUUAAUGAGCAUGUCAGUUUGGAGGUCUGGGUAAUCCAUGGGGCCUCUGGUAGUGGAUCAGUAUUUAUCCCUAGUACACAAAUGGACUUUGGGUGCCCAAUCCACAUAGAGGGAUACUCUCCCAGCCUAGACACAAAGAGAAGGGUCUAGGCUCUGCUCUAAAUGAUAUAAUAGACUUUGUACAUCCCCCAUGGAAGGCUCACCUUCCCUGGGGAGCAGAAAGGGAAAGGGAUAGGGGGUCAGUUAGGGACAUGGGAUUGACAUGUAAAACAAGCUUGUUUCUAAUUUAAAUAAAAAUUCACUUAAAAAAGAAGAACUUCUUCAGAAAUGGUAAAAGAAAAUGUACAAUUAAAGUGAUGGUUGAAGAUAUGGAUUUCCUCCCCACAAAUAACAUAUAAAAGGUAAAACUUGUCACUUUAGAGAAGGGAAAUCUAAAUAACACUAGCCUAGUGUAGUGAUCAAAAAUCAACAUCAACCAAAAGUCCUAUUGAUACCACAUUUUCUCAACGCCUUAGUCUAAACCAGAAGAAAGCAGACAAAUCCCAAAUGAGGGUCCUAUACACAAUCUGUUUAUUGCCUUUAAAGGGUUUUCAAAUUUGUCAAAAGCAAGGGAGUCUAAGGGCCAGCUAUGAAGUGGAUGAGUUGAAGAAAACAUGAUUAUGUCAUUCAAUGUUCUAUCACUGAAGGUGUCCUGGAGCUUAGAGGGGCCACUGGGUACAG